CGACUUUCGGGUCACGACGCGAGGGCUUU
rnacentral:sRNA from 1 species